rnacentral:rRNA from 1 species
CGUGCUUCAUACAUGCAAGUCGUACGAGAAAGUUUCCUUCGGGAAGCAAGUAAAGUGGCGAACUGGUGAGUAACACGUGAGCAACCUGCCUUAAAGUCUGGGAUAACCUUGAGAAAUUGGGGCUAAUACCAGAUGUGGCUCGAUCAACGCAUGUUGAUCGGAUUAAAGAUUACCUCUCCCUGGAAGUGAUCGCUUUAAGAUGGGCUCGCGGCCUAUUAGCUUGUUGGUGAGGUAACAGCUCACCAAGGCGACGAUGGGUAGCCGGCCUGAGAGGGUGUACGGCCACAUUGGGACUGAGAUACGGCCCAAACUCCUACGGGAGGCAGCAGUAGGGAAUAUUGCGCAAUGGGCGAAAGCCUGACGCAGCAACGCCGCGUGAGCGAUGAAGGCCUUCGGGUCGUAAAGCUCUGUCAGGUGAGAAGAAACCUUUAUAGGCUAAUAACUUAUAGAGUUGACAGUAUCACCAGAGGAAGCUCCGGCUAACUCCGUG